AGAAUCAACGCUGGCGGCGUGCCUAACACAUGCAAGUCGAACGAGAAGGUGGAGCAAUCCAUUAGUAAAGUGGCGCACGGGUGAGUAACACGUGACUAACCUACCCUUGAGUGGGGGAUAACCUAGGGAAACCUGGGCUAAUACCGCAUAAUACCUUCGGGUCAAAGGAGCAAUUCGCUUAAGGAGGGGGUCGCGGCCGAUUAGUUAGUUGGCGGGGUAAUGGCCCACCAAGACUAUGAUCGGUAUCC
rnacentral:rRNA from 1 species